AUCUAUAACUUCCUCAACAAUCCAAAAAAAAAAGGAAAGAAUCUAAUAAGGUUUAGGUCCUAACUCCACCACAAAAGCUAGCUUAAGAGUGGAGGUUUGACCCUUACUUAUAUAUUGGCCCAAAUCCCUCUCAUUUUCCAAUGUGGGACACUUAUCAGAAUCACACAAAGA